UUGAACGCUGGCGGCAUGCCUUACACAUGCAAGUCGAACGGUAACAGGUCUUCGGAUGCUGACGAGUGGCGAACGGGUGAGUAAUACAUCGGAACGUGCCCAGUAGUGGGGGAUAGCCCGGCGAAAGCCGGAUUAAUACCGCAUACGACCUAAGGGUGAAAGCAGGGGACCGCAAGGCCUUGCGCUAUUGGAGCGGCCGAUGUCAGAUUAGCUAGUUGGUGGGGUAAAAGCCUACCAAGGCGACGAUCUGUAGCUGGUCUGAGAGGACGACCAGCCACACUGGGACUGAGACACGGCCCAGACUCCUACGGGAGGCAGCAGUGGGGAAUUUUGGACAAUGGGCGCAAGCCUGAUCCAGCCAUGCCGCGUGCGGGAAGAAGGCCUUCGGGUUGUAAACCGCUUUUGUCAGGGAAGAAAUCCUUUGAGCUAAUACCUCAGAGGGAUGACGGUACCUGAAGAAUAAGCACCGGCUAACUACGU
rnacentral:rRNA from 1 species